rnacentral:rRNA from 1 species
AGUCGAGCGGUAGCACAGAGAGCUUGCUCUCGGGUGACGAGCGGCGGACGGGUGAGUAAUGUCUGGGAAACUGCCUGAUGGAGGGGGAUAACUACUGGAAACGGUAGCUAAUACCGCAUAACGUCGCAAGACCAAAGUGGGGGACCUUCGGGCCUCAUGCCAUCAGAUGUGCCCAGAUGGGAUUAGCUAGUAGGUGGGGUAACGGCUCACCUAGGCGACGAUCCCUAGCUGGUCUGAGAGGAUGACCAGCCACACUGGAACUGAGACACGGUCCAGACUCCUACGGGAGGCAGCAGUGGGGAAUAUUGCACAAUGGGCGCAAGCCUGAUGCAGCCAUGCCGCGUGUGUGAAGAAGGCCUUCGGGUUGUAAAGCACUUUCAGCGGGGAGGAAGGCGUUGAGGUUAAUAACCUUGUCGAUUGACGUUACCCGCAGAAGAAGCACCGGCUAACUCCGUGCCAGCAGCCGCGGUAAUACGGAGGGUGCAAGCGUUAAUCGGAAUUACUGGGCGUAAAGCGCACGCAGGCGGUCUGUCAAGUCGGAUGUGAAAUCCCCGGGCUCAACCUGGGAACUGCAUUCGAAACUGGCAGGCUAGAGUCUUGUAGAGGGGGGUAGAAUUCCAGGUGUAGCGGUGAAAUGCGUAGAGAUCUGGAGGAAUACCGGUGGCGAAGGCGGCCCCCUGGACAAAGACUGACGCUCAGGUGCGAAAGCGUGGGGAGCAAACAGGAUUAGAUACCCUGGUAGUCCACGCCGUAAACGAUGUCGAUUUGGAGGUUGUGCCCUUGAGGCGUGGCUUCCGGAGCUAACGCGUUAAAUCGACCGCCUGGGGAGUACGGC